rnacentral:rRNA from 1 species
GUAGGGAAUAUUGCGCAAUGGACGAAAGUCUAACGCAGCGACGCCGCGUGAGUGAUGAAGGCCUUAGGGUCGUAAAGCUCUGUUGAAUGGGAAGAAAAAAAUGACGGUACUAUUCGAGGAAGGACCGGCUAACUUCGUGCCAGCAGCCGCGGUAAUACGAGGGGUCCUAGCGUUGUUCGGAAUCAUUGGGCGUAAAGGGUGUGUAGGUGGCCAUGUAAGUCAGGUGUGAAAGCCCCGGGCCCCACCCGGGAAGUGCACUUGAUAAUGCGUGGCUUGAGUACCGAAGAGGGUAGUGGAAUGCCAGGUGUAGUGGUGAAAUACGUAGAUAUCUGGAGGAACACCGGUGGCGAAGGCGGCUACCUGGUCGAGUACUGACACUGAGACACGAAAGCAUGGGGAUCAAACAGGAUUAGAUACCCCUGUAGUCC